rnacentral:rRNA from 1 species
AUAUUGGACAAUGGAGGCAACUCUGAUCCAGCCAUGCCGCGUGCAGGAAGACUGCCCUAUGGGUUGUAAACUGCUUUUAUACAGGAAGAAACACCUCUACGUGUAGAGAUUUGACGGUACUGUAAGAAUAAGGAUCGGCUAACUCCGUGCCAGCAGCCGCGGUAAUACGGAGGAUCCAAGCGUUAUCCGGAAUUAUUGGGUUUAAAGGGUCCGCAGGCUGUUUGUUAAGUCAGAGGUGAAAUCCUACCGCUCAACGGUAGAACUGCCUUUGAUACUGACAAACUUGAGUUAUUGUGAAGUAAUUAGAAUGUGUAGUGUAGCGGUGAAAUGCAUAGAUAUUACACAGAAUACCGAUUGCGAAAGCAGAUUACUAACAAUAUACUGACGCUGAGGGACGAAAGCGUGGGUAGCAAACAGGAUUAGAUACCCUUGUAGUC